GCCUCUGAAAGGUCGUGGCUCACUGGUAGAGCAUCUGCUUUGCAUGUAGAAGGUACUAGGUUCAAACCUCUGCUGUAUUUCCCGGUGGGGCU